CAAAUUCAGGGGGAUGUAAAAAUCUUGACACCUCAUUAAUUACUUGGAUUGAUUUGGUUGAUCUGGCUGGCUAGGUAGGUGUCACCUUACUCCCUCAACACUCCACGUGGAUUCUUUCCUGAAGCUGUACAUUCAGUGGAAGAGAGCAACCUUCCCUAAUAGAGGAAGACUGUCCUUUGGCCAAGAGCACAUGAAUAGUGAGUCCCCUGCUAGAACUUCCAAACAAGCUCACCAACACAGGAUCCCGUAGGGAGUAGCCUUGAACAUAAAUGUCAGUUCAAAAAUAGCCAAAAUAAUUAAUUGGAGGAAGUU
ensembl:misc_RNA 7SK 7SK RNA